CAGCUUCUCUCUUUACUGUAGCAUUGUUUUGUUUCUUUCAGAGGCAAGGUUCUUGAACUAGAAUCCUAGAUUGCCGAUUCUAAUAUUUAUUGGACUGGAGAAUCAUCUUUCGACACAAUGGUGAUGUUGAUAUAGUGGAGGUGGAAUUUGCCGAUGGUCGUGUAUUCAAGUUGUUGGCUGAGUUUCUAAGAAUAAUCAGUCCUGCAGUUGAUGGAAAAAUUAGAUCAAUUGGAGGUAAUAUCAGGGAGACGGCACGUAGGAAUCAUGUAUGCAGAACCGGUAGUGAACUAUGGGAUAAGGUACAUCAAACUUAGACAUUAGAUCUAAAUUUCAGUAUCUAAAUCCCUCAAACUGAAAUGUGAUGCAUAGUUGUUGAAUUGGAUUGUUCAAGCUUAAUUUUGAUGACUUGCACAAAACCGGAAGAUAUUCGUGGGAUUAUUUCUAUCACCUGGGAAGUAACAAGUUUACCCUCAUGAGAAAUUACAUCAAAACAUUUAAGAAAUAUGGGCUAAGCCGGGAUCCACGUAGAAAAAAAUGAUGCAGGCAUCCGCUUCUUGAUUGGCCAAAACUGGUUUGAAAUUGUGUCAGUUGACAUCAUGAAACUUGUGCUUGUCGUUGGAUAGCUUCAUCUGUUGAAAUUGAAAAACUGAAUUUUGUGAGUUGGAGAAUAGUGUUUCAAUGAAGUAUUCACUAAUUAUCAAAGGAUGAAAGAAAUAAAGGAGUGUUUUUCUUGACCUUUUUCUUUUCUCCCAUUACAAUUAUUUGCUAGAGUCAUCUGAACCAUGCCAAAAUCCCUAUAGCGUUCAUGUUUCUUAUUCUGCAUGACUAUUUCCGUAAAAUUGUUGUUAUAAUCUGUGUCAAAAAAAAACCAAUUAAACCAAUAAAAAAAACAAUUAAACCAAUAAUUAUUACACAAAGAUGAAGGUGGAGAGUUUAAUGAAUUUUCAAAUCCAAAAAGAAUUCAUGAUAAGUAAUGCAUUUUCUGUACUGCCAUAAAAGAAAAAUAAGAACACAUAUUAUUUGCUCAUUAGAAUAUCUUCCAUGCUAGUUCUAGUUUUUUAUUUUAAAUCUUACAAGAUGACACAUAAACAUUUGUAAGAUCAUAUAUCAUAAAUAGUAGAUUUAAAAUUAAAAGUAAAAUUUGUCGUUCUAAUACUUUAUCUUAAGGUGGAUACUCCCAUGAUGACAUCUUCACAUGAAAAUAGCAUUGUGGACCAUUAGAUGAGUUGAUAUGUUUUACUAUAUAUUUGAUUAACCAUCUAAGGGUUUACAAUGUCAUCUUCAUAUAAAGAUAUCAUCAUGUGAGUAUUCCCCUUAUCUCAAUUCAAUUAGAAUUUUAUAUUAUGAGCAAAUAGUCAUUUUUGACCAUGAAAAAUUGAAGCGUUGUCCAUGUUAGUUAUGAUUCUAGGUGGUUGUCAACUGUCCAACGUGGUAGGUAAUGAUCCAACAUGUCAAUACUUUGUUUUAAUUUAAAAAUUAAAUAAUUAUAAGUGGAAUUUACAUAUUUAACCUAAGAAGAGAAAGCUUUAAAACAUAAGACUUAGGGGAAGAGUGGUUACAUGCAAAGAGAAGAGAGAGCUUCCCAACAAUAGCGAUUUCCAUUCCAAUCAAUCUAACGGAGUUGUCGUUUUGAACCGUCAUUCGUCAUUUUGCAAGUCGGGUUUAUGCAGUCGUCAGAGGCCACUUGUGAGAAGGGAGAACAAUUGCAGGGGAGCAAGAGCCACUGAUGGAGGAGACAACACUUGUGAUUAUGUAAGAUAAGGUCUGAAAUUUCAUUCUCACUUGAUUAUGUAGUUCGUUUGAGUGAUUUUCUACAUACUCUUCAUCUAUGCAUGUAAUCGGGGUUAGGAUUUGCAUUGUUAUUGUUCCUGAUCCUCAUUGCUGUACAUUUUUUUGUCUACUUUUAGUUUGUAAUUAACGGCAUAAAACACCUCCUGUUGACCUUAUUCUCAUUCUUUCUCUUCACAAUUGAAUUUCUAUCGACACUGAAACUCGCAUAUGAUGCAGGUGAGUUCGUCAUUUAGCACCUUGACAUUUUCUCUUCAAAAUUAUCUAUGGUCUCUCUUUAAUCUUCUAUCUUUCUGUCUUCACAAAUUGGAGCUUAGGGUUUAAUUUGGGUGAAGAAAAUGAGAAGAAGAAAGAGUUCUUUCGAAGAAGGAAUGAAUAGGGAGAAGGUUUGUAUGACAUUAUUAACAUCAUCUGCCACGUUGACACUUGACAGUUACCAUGGAUCAAAACUAAUGCCCUCUCUCACUAGUUUAAUAUUUGGUUAGAAAUGUUUGCGUAGAUAGACGUCGAUGGUGACAACUUUUUAUAUCUAUAACAAUAUAUAAUACCAAUACAUGAGCUUGGUGUCCAACAUUCUUUUCCAAUUUUGCCCUCCCUAAUAAUCUAUCCACUAUAUCUCAGUUAUUCCAUGUUAAAAAAAUUUCCACUA